rnacentral:lncRNA from 1 species
GCGCCUGAGGGUCCCGGGCCAGGCAGCAGCACACAGGUGGCAGGAUCCACUCAGGCUGCAUCUCCCGUGGUGCUCAUCUGGCUGCUGCCAUCUGUGCUGGACCCCGCCAAGGUAUAGAGUCUCAUGGACACGAUCUGGAAGGACCCAGACAGUGUGCCAUCGAUGUCCUCUAGAUCAGAGGGGCCCAGGGAGGUGACUACUUCUACUCCUUUGGGGACUGCCACCGCUAAACAGCCUAGCAGCAGCUGCAGCCAGACUGCCAAGCUUGUCCAUUUCACCCUCUCGGACCUAAGGGUGUACCUGGGGGCACCCACACCAGACUUGCAG